AUGCUCGCUUUUGUAGGAUAAAUACUAAAAUUGUAACAAUACAGAGUAGAUUGGUAUAGCCCCCUAGGCAAGGAUGAUAGUCUAACUUAUGAAAUCUUUCAUAGUUUU